CCCUUCGGGGACAAAGUGACAGGUGGUGCAUGGUUGUCGUCAGCUCGUGUCGUGAGAUGUUGGGUUAAGUCCCGCAACGAGCGCAACCCUUGAUUUUAGUUGCCAGCAUUUAGUUGGGCACUCUAAAGUGACUGCCGGUGCAAGCCGGAGGAAGGUGGGGAUGACGUCAAAUCAUCAUGCCCCUUAUGACCUGGGCUACACACGUGCUACAAUGGAUAGUACAAAGGGUCGCGAAGCCGCGAGGUGGAGCUAAUCCCAUAAAACUAUUCUCAGUUCGGAUUGUAGGCUGCAACUCGCCUACAUGAAGCCGGAAUCGCUAGUAAUCGUGGAUCAGCAUGCCACGGUGAAUACGUUCCCGGGCCUUGUACACACCGCCCGUCACACCACGAGAGUUUGUAACACCCGAAGUC
rnacentral:rRNA from 1 species